UAGUCCACGCCGUAAACGAUGGACACUAGUUGUUGGAAUUUAUUUCAGUGACUAAGCGAAAGUGAUAAGUGUCCCACCUGGGGAGUACGAUCGCAAGAUUGAAACUCAAAGGAAUUGACGGGGCCCGCACAAGCGGUGGAGCAUGUGGUUUAAUUCGAUGAUACGCGAGGAACCUUACCAGGGCUUAAAUGUAAGUUGCAUGAUUUAGAGAUAGAUCUUUCUUCGGACUACUUACAAGGUGCUGCAUGGUUGUCGUCAGCUCGUGCCGUGAGGUGUCAGGUUAAGUCCUAUAACGAGCGCAACCCCUAUCGUUAGUUGCUAGCAGGUCAUGCUGAGGACUCUAACGAGACUGCCGGUGCAAACCGUGAGGAAGGUGGGGAUGACGUCAAAUCAUCACGGCCCUUACGUCCUGGGGCUACACACGUGCUACAAUGGGUAUAUACAGAGGGGCAGCUACCUGGGCGACAGGGAUGCGAAUCUUCAAAGUNUAUCUCAGA
rnacentral:rRNA from 1 species